rnacentral:rRNA from 1 species
UGGGGAAUUUUGGACAAUGGGCGAAAGCCUGAUCCAGCCAUGCCGCGUGAGUGAAGAAGGCCUUCGGGUUGUAAAGCUCUUUUAGUCGGAAAGAAAGAGUUGCAAUGAAUAAUUGUGAUUUAUGACGGUACCGACAGAAAAAGCACCGGCUAACUACGUGCCAGCAGCCGCGGUAAUACGUAGGGUGCGAGCGUUAAUCGGAAUUACUGGGCGUAAAGGGUGCGCAGGCGGUCGUGCAAGUCAGAUGUGAAAGCCCCGGGCUUAACCUGGGAAUUGCGUUUGAAACUACAAGGCUAGAGUGCAGCAGAGGGGAGUGGAAUUCCAUGUGUAGCAGUGAAAUGCGUAGAGAUGUGGAAGAACACCGAUGGCGAAGGCAGCUCCCUGGGUUGACACUGACGCUCAUGCACGAAAGCGUGGGGAGCAAACA